rnacentral:rRNA from 1 species
UACGAAGGGGGCUAGCGUUGUUCGGAAUUACUGGGCGUAAAGCGCGCGCAGGCGGCUAUCCAAGUCAGUGGUGAAAGCCCGGAGCUUAACUCCGGAACUGCCAUUGAAACUGUUUAGCUUGAGUAUGAGAGAGGUGAGUGGAAUUCCCAGUGUAGAGGUGAAAUUCGUAGAUAUUGGGAAGAACACCGGUGGCGAAGGCGGCUCACUGGCUCAUUACUGACGCUGAGGCACGAAAGCCAGGGGAGCAAACGGG